AUGUAUUGCUUCCCUUGUGGUGCUCGGAUAAGGCGAAAUGGACCAUACUAUGCUUAUGAUACUCGUGAUACCCACCACUCUGUCUGCAUUCCAUGUUACAAUAAGUCCCGUGCUCACACCAUUGAGGCUGAAGGACAGAUGUUUCCGAAGGCCCGAUUUCAGAAAAAAAGAAAUGAUGAGGAAACUCAAGAAUGUUGGGUUAAUUGUGAAAGAUGUAAUUGCUGGCAGCAUCAGAUAUGUGCUCUGUUUAAUGACAUAAACUAUGAUGUAGAACAAGCAUAUACUUGCCUGUAUUGCUAUAUUGAGGAAGUGAAGCGUGGGCUGCACGUGCCUUCACCACAGAGUGCUGUUCUUGGGGCAAGUGAUCUGCCAAGAACUGCUCUUAGCGAUCAUAUUGAAGAGCGGCUUUUUUAA
rnacentral:rRNA from 1 species